rnacentral:rRNA from 1 species
GGGCCCGCGCCUGAUUAACUAGUUGGUGGGGUAAUGGCUCACCAAGGCGACGAUCCAUAGCUGGUCUGAGAGGAUGAUCAGCCACACUGGGACUGAGACACGGCCCAGACUCCUACGGGAGGCAGCAGUGGGGAAUAUUGGACAAUGGGCGAAACCCUGAUCCAGCAAUGCCGCGUGAGGGAUGACGGCCUUCGGGUUGUAAACCUCUUUCAGCGGGGACGAAGCGCCGAUGAUGGUGGUGACGGUACCCGCAGAAGAAGCACCGGCCAACUACGUGCCAGCAGCCGCGGU